CAUCCUCCAAGGCUAAAUACUCCUGACUGACCGAUAGUGAACCAGUACCGUGAGGGAAAGGCGAAAAGAACCCCGGCGAGGGGAGUGAAAAAGAACCUGAAACCGUGUACGUACAAGCAGUGGGAGCCCCACCACUAAGCCAGUGGUGAACUCCACAUACGCAUCCUUUGCUGAGGAUGCGGUUAACGGAGCGAAAGCGACGUUCAACCGCAAAAGAAGCAGAGGGGGCUUAGUGGUGGGGUGACUGCGUACCUUUUGUAUAAUGGGUCAGCGACUUAUAUUCUGUAGCAAGGUUAACCGAAUAGGGGAGCCGGAGGGAAACCGAGUCUUAAUUGGGCGUUAAGUUGCAGGGUAUAGACCCGAAACC
rnacentral:rRNA from 1 species